rnacentral:rRNA from 1 species
GACGUAGGAUCCGAGCGUUGUUCGGAAUUACUGGGCGUAAAGGGCGCGUAGGCGGCCUACUAAGUCAGACGUGAAAUCCCCCGGCUUAACCUGGGAACUGCGUCUGAUACUGGAAGGCUUGAGUAUGGGAGAGGGAUGUAGAAUUCCAGGUGUAGCGGUGAAAUGCGUAGAUAUCUGGAGGAAUACCGGUGGCGAAGGCGGCAUCCUGGACCAUUACUGACGCUGAGGCGCGAAAGCUAGGGGAGCAAACGGG